CUCUAGCAGGUCUAAUGGCUAGGAUUCCUGGUUUUUACCCAGGCCGCCCAGGUUCAAUUCCUGAGCAGGGAG
rfam:Sus scrofa chromosome 17.